UACGUAGGGGGCGAGCGUUGUCCGGAUUUAUUGGGCGUAAAGAGCGUGUAGGCGGCCAGAAAAGUCCGCUGUGAAAACUCGAGGCUCAACUUCGAGCUGUCGGUGGAAACUUUCUGGCUAGAGUCCGGAAGAGGAGAAUGGAAUUCCUGGUGUAGCGGUGAAAUGCGCAGAUAUCAGGAAGAACACCUAUGGCGAAGGCAGCUCUCUGGGACGGUACUGACGCUGAGACGCGAAAGCGUGGGGAGCGAACAGG
rnacentral:rRNA from 1 species